rnacentral:rRNA from 1 species
UUAGCGGCGGACGGGUGAGUAACACGUGGGCAACCUGCCUGUAAGACUGGGAUAACUUCGGGAAACCGGAGCUAAUACCGGAUGACAUAAAGGAACUCCUGUUCCUUUAUUGAAAGAUGGCUUCGGCUAUCACUUACAGAUGGGCCCGCGGCGCAUUARCUAGUUGGUGAGGUAACGGCUCACCAAGGCGACGAUGCGUAGCCGACCUGAGAGGGUGAUCGGCCACACUGGGACUGAGACACGGCCCAGACUCCUACGGGAGGCAGCAGUAGGGAAUCUUCCGCAAUGGACGAAAGUCUGACGGAGCAACGCCGCGUGAGCGAUGAAGGCCUUCGGGUCGUAAAGCUCUGUUGUUAGGGAAGAACAAGUGCUAGUUAAAUAAGCUGGCACCUUGACGGUACCUAACCAGAAAGCCACGGCUAACUACGUGCCAGCAGCCGCGGUAAUACGUAGGUGGCAAGCGUUGUCCGGAAUUAUUGGGCGUAAAGCGCGCGCAGGCGGUUUCUUAAGUCUGAUGUGAAAGCCCCCGGCUCAACCGGGGAGGGUCAUUGGAAACUGGGAACUUGAGUGCAGAAGAGGAAAGUGGAAUUCCAAGUGUAGCGGUGAAAUGCGUAGAGAUUUGGAGGAACACCAGUGGCGAAGGGACUUUCUGGUCUUGUAACUGACGCUGAGCGCGAAGCGGUGGGGAGCAAACAGGAUUAGAUACCCUGGUAGUCCACGCCUGUAACGAUGAUGCUAAGUUGUUAGAGGGAUUCCGCCCUUAGUGCUGAGUAACGCAUUAAGCACCUCCGCCUGGGGAGUACGUCGCUAGACUUGAAUCUCAAAGGAAUGACGGGCCCGGACAAGUGGUGGAGCAUGUGCUUAUCGAGGCACGGUAGAA